rnacentral:lncRNA from 1 species
AUCCACCUGCCUCGGCCUCCCAAAGUGCUGAGAUUACAGGCAUGAGCCACUGUGCCUGGUCCCACUGAUUUUUUAUAGCUUCUAAUUUUCUGUUGAAAUUCUCCCACUCCUUAUCUUUUGCUUUACUUUCUUUUAUCGAUCAAUCUAAGUAUUUUAAAGUCUGAGUAUCCUGUAGAACUCUCUCUAAGUCAUUAUCUCUAUCUUACCAGUAGGGAAACUAAAAAAUUUCAUGAAGAAUAAAAUCCAUUGUACAAUGCGUAAUAUAGUCAAAGAUCUUGAAAAAGAAUUGGUGUCUAAACCAUUAUUUUUCACUUUUAAUCAAUAAACAUUAUUCCUCUUUAGAGGAGGUAAAAAAACCCAUAUAAAAUAUACUGAAAAUAAAUUUCAUUAAACAUUAAAUGAUGAAUAGUUCUAAAUCUAUCUUCUUUGCAUUCAUUAACUAGCACUUCAGAGCAAAAAUAAUGGUAGCUUUUGUUAUGGCUUCAUAUUUCUUUAAAAUAUUGACUUAAAAUAGAUUUUCAAUCUGGGGAAUAGAUAAGAACUAAUGCCAUUUGGUUUUAAAUAGAAUUGUGUUGUAAUCCUCAAGCUAAAGGCAUAGCAAAAAAAAAAAAAAUGACAACAUCACUGGAAAUUUGCCUCAGUCUACUUACUGUUCACCAUUUAAUUAGACACUUUUUAAUUCUGGCAGAAAGUCUAAGGAAUUCAUGGAUCCACCUUCUAAGCACAUCAAGGAGUGUUAAUACACUGGACAGUUAGAACAAUGGCAGCAGAACAUCUUAUUUAAACUCUUGACAUAAUAAAAUAAUUUUUUCUUGUUUUGGUAAUAAUAUCAUUAAUACUUUACAGUUGUGGCAUACUACAAUGUUAAAGAUUCAAUUAAGCAAGAGAGCACCAUAAUACACUUUAAAUAAGACUGCUAUAACUUUCACAGGCACGGUUUCAAACAAGACUAGUCAACCCUCAUUAUUCAUUAGGACUACUUCAUAUAAGUCAGCUUACCAAUAAGUAGCAUUUUACAAAAGCCUCUUAUCUACUGACUUACCAUAUAGGUCUUAGGAAAAAUGUUUUAUUUUUGAAUAGUUAUAUGGAUACUAUAAAGAUGGUGACUGUUUAUCACUAUGUUGUGAAAUUUCUUGCCUUCCUUCAAUUUUUUUUUUAAGUGGAGAAAUGAUUUUCUAAAAAGUCUGAGUCUUCUAAGCAUAGCUCAUCUCCUGGUAAAAAUUGCAGUGCUCCAUUAGUUAAUAAUGCCAUCGCAAGCCGUCCUUUUCUCUCUUCUAAUGUACCAUACAAACAAAAUUUGUGCAAGUCAAAGAGCAGGGCAAAGUUUUCAUACUUCAUAGAGCUUUAAGUAAGUUUAUUUCAUAGAACUGUGGGAGUGCCAGCCAAAGAGCUUCCAGUAUGAAACUUUCAGUUGCCUUUAUGGAGAUGGCCACUGGCAGCCUACCACCUUGGUCAUGCUCCCGUGGGCAGGCAGGGAGAAGGCAGCUUGCGCAGACAGCACAGAAAAAAGGCCUUUGGAUAGAGGCGACUUCCCAGGCUCGUGAGCUGCAAGAGCCAGGCGCUCCAGUAGCACAGAGCCCGGAAAUCGGGCACGCAGUCGGAGCGUGCGUGCAGGCACAGGAAGUGACGCAGAGUUGAUGCGUCAGGCUUAGGCUCAGACUGCAGUGACAGCAGCUGCGUUCAGGUCUUCUCGAGUUCCUGAAGGAUGGAGCCUGGGUUUUUUUUUUUUUUUUUUAAUUUAUUUCUAAAUUUCCCCCCUUUUCCCUCUGUGUUGGUCAUUUGCUGUUGUUAUUUUUGACAUGUUUUAUAAUUUUCAGUCGGUUUUCAGAAUAUAGAUAGCAUACUGUACAUUCUCUAUAUGAUGUUCCCACGAAAGUGCUGUUUUUAUUUUUUAGUUAUAAAGCACUUCAGUGAAUGACUUUGAUCCAGUUGAGACUUAGUUUUAAGCUUUGUUAUACUUGACCUUUUUAAUUUGCUACUUACAGGAUGUGACCAUUAAUCUUAGAAAGUAGCUUUGCCCAAGUCCUGGACCUAGGUUUAGCACGCUCCCUCUGGAUUUAAUUCUAAUCUCUAACUCCUCAGUGCCAUUCAGCUGCUGAAAUCUCUGCUCAGCAUUCAAGCUUUCUGUUUGCUGUUUCCCACUACAUAUCUUGAAGGCUUGCCUUGUACAUGCACAAGUCAGAAAUUUACCCACAAUUUGAGGGAAAUUAGGAUGCAGAUUUGGGGACACUCUCUUAGCUUCCUGUCUUUUUCAAUAGUUUGCUCCUCAAAUCACAGCUCCUUUGGCGUCCUGAAACGCCAGACUUUGUCUCCUCUGACGUGUGAAACUCCUGCUUUCUUCUUGGGCUCUUUUCGCCUUCACCACAACUUGGAAAAUGCCCCCAGGAAAAUUCCGAGGUUCUCAGGGUGGCAGAUGAGGAAGAAGGUGGAGAACAGGAUAGAAAUGAAAUUUUGAGAAGGGAGUCCAGCCUAGAAGGGUAAAAUAUCAGGAAGGAAAUGGAACUCUCAUAAAGACGGCAAAAGGAAUAGAACGACCUUAAAUAAACUGCAAAUAUUGUUUUGAAUCACCUCCCAACUUUUUGCUUUUCUGUCCUUCUUCUUUUGGCAUCUUUCUGUCUUCCUCCUGGCCUGCCCCAUUCUUUUUGGGGCUUCUCACUAGGGCAGUCACCUGGAGGGCUUGUUUCAAUAUCUGUAUUGAAACAAGACUGUCCUCCAGUUUCCGAUUCCAUAAGUCUCCGGUGGGUUUUGAGGAUUUUCAUUUCUAACAAAUUUCUAGGUGAAGCUGAUGCUGCUGGUUCAGGGCCACACUUUGAGAACCACUGGCCUUGGGAUGUGUUUUACCAUCUUAAUAUGUUCAUUCAUUCAUGCAUUUGUUCAUUCAGUUAAUGUCCAGGCAGUGCCUUAGACAUUGCAUACUCCCCACAGAAUCCAGCUUUAGUGACAAGCAUUGAGUAGGUCUUCAAUACAUUUUAAACUGUUGUGCAAUGUGCAUUUCUCCAGGUCUCACUAGCCCAUGGCUACCAAGCAUUCUUUGGCAGGAGUGACUUGAACUGCACUGACUUUUACCCUCUCCUGUGUAGAACAAGAACUCCAGCACUGCUCCAAAAAGCACUUAUUGUGUCUUAGGGAUGCCUAGUCUUGUAGUUCAUAUACUUAUAACCCAGGCAGUUCUGGUUACCACACACAAGCCUCUCCCAUGGAUGUCUUCUCUCUGUGCAGCUACUUAUGGGUAACUUACUGCUGCACCUGCUGCUGUUGCUGCUUUCUAUGGUAACCAUGAAGUAC